rnacentral:rRNA from 1 species
UGGCUCAGGAUGAACGCUAGCUACAGGCUUAACACAUGCAAGUCGAGGGGCAUCAGUUUGGUUUGCUUGCAAACCAAAGCUGGCGACCGGCGCACGGGUGAGUAACACGUAUCUAACCUGCCUCAUACUCGGGGAUAGCCUUUCGAAAGAAAGAUUAAUAUCCGAUAGCAUAUAUUUCCCGCAUGGGUUUUAUAUUAAAGAAAUUCGGUAUGAGAUGGGGAUGCGUUCCAUUAGUUUGUUGGGGGGGGUAACGGCCCACCAAGACUACGAUGGAUAGGGGUUCUGAGAGGAAGGUCCCCCACAUUGGAACUGAGACACGGUCCAAACUCCUACGGGAGGCAGCAGUGAGGAAUAUUGGUCAAUGGACGCGAGUCUGAACCAGCCAAGUAGCGUGAAGGAUGACUGCCCUAUGGGUUGUAAACUUCUUUUAUAUGGGAAUAAAGUUGUCCACGUGUGGAUUUUUGUAUGUACCAUAUGAAUAAGGAUCGGCUAACUCCGUGCCAGCAGCCGCGGUAAUACGGAGGAUCCGAGCGUUAUCCGGAUUUAUUGGGUUUAAAGGGAGCGUAGGCGGAUUGUUAAGUCAGUUGUGAAAGUUUGCGGCUCAACCGUAAAAUUGCAGUUGAUACUGGCAGUCUUGAGUGCAGUAGAGGUGGGCGGAAUUCGUGGUGUAGCGGUGAAAUGCUUAGAUAUCACGAAGAACUCCGAUUGCGAAGGCAGCUCACUGGAGUGUAACUGACGCUGAUGCUCGAAAGUGUGGGUAUCAAACAGGAUUAGAUACCCUGGUAGUCCACACAGUAAACGAUGAAUACUCGCUGUUUGCGAUAUACAGUAAGCGGCCAAGCGAAAGCAUUAAGUAUUCCACCUGGGGAGUACGCCGGCAACGGUGAAACUCAA